GUUUGCUUCUGCUUCCACCAUGAUUGUGGACAGACACAGAGAUGGUGAUGGGAAAACCCCGUCGUGUUCCAGCCGGGAGGUGGACAGAGCCCCUGCGCGAUGCUUGGCUUCACCAGCAUUGUGAUCCGUAUUCCGAUGAGCUCUCAGGACUCACCGUGAUGCCAGGGAGCCGUCCUGAGCAACAGCUGAAAUCUCUUUCUGCAGCCUUCACAUAGGAGAAAGCCGUCCUUGUGAUGCUUCUGUUCGCCGUGGAAGGGAUCUGAGUCUGCAGCAACCUCAAGUCUUGCCUCCCCAGAAGAAAGAAUUUGAGGAGGGGCACAAGAAGGGAGAGAGAGAGGCAAGUUUUAGAGCAGGAGUGGAAGUUGAUCAAAACGCUUUAGUGCAGGAAGGAAAGGAAAGGAAAGUACACUUAGAAGAGGGCCAAGCAGGUGACUCAAAAGACCAGUGCACAGCUUGACUGUUUGACUUGGGGUUUUAUUCGUUGGCUACUCCUGGGGUCUGGUGUCUCUUCCCCCCACUCCCAGGAUCUUAUUGGGAAACUGCUGAUCAGUUUCAGCUGUUUUCUCUCCAUUAGGGGCCUGCCUUUCCCUGGUGUCAGCUGUGAUCAGUUAUUACUUUCGAGAGACAGUUAGCAACCUCCUGACCAUCACCUGAUGGCCCCCAACACUCCUGGUGUGUGUGUGUCUGUGUGGCGGGGAGCCCUCUCCUGCCUGCUCAUGCCCGACUAGCUAGCCACUGUAAUGUUCCUACAGGCAACAUCAUUAGAGAGGGGAUGGGAAUUGUUUUUGCAUUUGAGGCCAGUGCACAGCUUCUAAAUCCACGAGUGCCCAGAGGCAGUUAUGGGGACCACAGGCGUGGCUUCCUGGUCCCAGACAGUAGUACGUACUGGUUCCCUCACCCCUAAGGGGAGGCACUCCCCGCCUUGCCUGGUUCUGUGGGGUUUUUCUAGGAGCUAUUUCUGGAGGUCUUGGGUGCUGUCCUCAACUACAGUCCUUCCACUGCUUUUAUAAACAGCCAAUUCCCCGUAUUAAAUUCCCUUUCUCCCUAAAAUAACUAAGGUGGCUUCCGUUUCCAGCCGUUAAACAAUGACAGCAAUAGGUAUUUAGCAUAGAUCAGGGGUUGGCAACUUUUUCUGUACACAGCCAGACAGUAAAUGCUUUAGGCUUUUGGGGACUUACAGUCUCUGUCCCAGCAAGUUAAUUCCGCCACUAUAACACAUUAGAUGAAUGGGCAUGGCCGCUUUCCAAUAAAACUUUAUUUACAAAAGCACUCAGCUGGCCCACGGGUUGUAGUCUGCCAACCUGUUGCAUAGAAUGCUGAGUGUUUUACUUUCUGAAGUCAAUGUGCUGUUGUUACCAUGUUUACAUAGGGGAUAAAGCCAACUUUAUCUUGUUCUACCCCCAGGUGUUUCCAGACUAGCCGAUAGGAAAUUUAAAAUCCACGAACAAGCA